CCUGCUCUUUAAACCCAGCUUAUGCCGACACUAUUAAUGUGGGUAUCUGUGACCAACUCCGGGUUUUUAUGCUAGUGACCCGAUUCCGCACUAACACGCUCCUCCCAGCUCGGUGAAGCUCCCCAUGUGAUCCAUUCUUCCCCCUAAAUAAGUUGACAAUCUGGCUGUGCUCAGAGUGCUGCCGAGGGGGUGCGGAGCUCUUCCCCCCUCCGCAGCUGCGGCACCGCAGCCGCACCGGGGCCGCGCCGGGCCGGGCUCGGGACUCCAGCACGGCGGGGCUUGGGGCUCCCAGCACCGCUGCCCCCUCUGGAGGAGCCCAGCGAGCCGAGCAGGAUGCGGCCGGAGCAGAAGGAAAACUCAAGUGUAAUAAAGACAGCACAGGCUGAACAACUGCUAAGAGCAGAGUCCUCUUGUUCACCAGGAUAAAACUAGUCUAAAGUGAGAGACCGGGGCUAGAACUUUGUACACUUCAUUAAAACAUUAAUUGACUUGCUUAAUCCUUUAUCUAAGAUGCCAGUUAUAGUACUGGAUGUAAUCACAAGGGGCUUAUGCAAAUUCCAUUUCCAAGGAUGACCACGUGAAAAUCUAAUACAGGUAAUUUUUCCUCUUUUACUUUGGGAUUAACAAUGGAGAGGAAAAAGACAUAAAGAGGUUUUUUGAUUUGAGGACUUUCCAGAUAAAUCUAUGGUGUUUAACACCGACAAACAUGGUGACACUGCAAAUAUCACUGAAGUGUCUUUCUGGAACAAGCCAUACUCCAAAGGAUAGAGAUUCUACAAGGAAGGAGGAAGCCUGGCUGAAAGAUUUCCACCUUAAGAUUUCAAAAAACACUUUAAGCAGCCAAAAAUAAAUAUUUCUGUGUAAAUAGGUACAUAUUUAAAACACUCCUAAACACUUUGUUCUUACAUGGGGGUUUAUAGAAGAUGCAGCAAGGCUAAAAAUCUCAUUACAUGUUUUUCAAAGCCUUUUCUCCUUCUUCCAUUCCUUCCUCCUCUCCUUCCCUCCUCCUUGUCCCCACUCCCAUUUGUUCCCACUCCCACUCUGCCUUUUGUCUGCUGCUCCACAGUUCUGGAGGAGGAGGAAGAGCCAUUUACAUUCCAGGUUUCCAGCAUGAUGGAGACCCUUCAUCCAAAGGUUUUUCACAUCAAAAAGAUGCAAAUUCAGAGAAAAGGAGCCACAUUCUUCUCUAAAGCAAUUAAAACGGAAGAGAGAAUUUGAAAGGCAGCAGGGAGAUUUACAAGAAAGCUGAAGGCAAAAGGAAAGCAAGGCUGAAACUGUAUUAAAAAAUCAAUAUAUAUUUAGGGUUAUAUAAAUAGUAGAAGUAAUUCAGCAUUGGCACAGAGAAUGUGGGGAUGAGAACACGAGAGAGACACACAGAGACAGAAAACAAGACUCUCCUGCUACUGAUAUCAAAGAGAUUUCUUAUAUUAACUCACAAGGAGCAGGUUUAUAGUUUCAGGUCAGUCACCUUAACUUUGGGAAAAUGUUUUUGUGUUGCUCUGAGAAAGAAUACUGUACCUUUUUCUCACUUGCUGCUGGUUUAUCAACCUCUAUGGUCCUUAUCAACCAUCUUUAAUCUCCAGCAUCAGGAAGCCAAAGGAAGACUGAGUUCCUCAAAGAUCAGGGAUGAGAAAUCAGCUCCCCACUGACAAGGAAGGUGCAGGAGCUCAUGUGAUUCCUGGCCUUCAUCCUUCUGAUGAAGCUGAAGAUUCCAGACAUCACCAAACUUGCUCCUUCCUUUGAAACACAGAAUCAGAAAGCAGAGUUAUCCCAACAACAUAAACCCCCAAGCCACGUCCAAUUAAAACUUCCUACAAGUCUGAUCUCCCACAUGUUAUUUUGACUUAAUUUUUUUUACAGAUCCAAUGCAAAUCAUCAGUAGUCUCUUUAAUACAACACCGAUAACAUCAUUACUGCCAAGGCUCUGGCAAACAGAGGCAAGGGCUGCCCUUAUGAAAAGGGAGGAAUCUCAGUGAAAUCAAAAAGCUGUUGAUGAACAUUGUUAUCCCUUUUCAGUAAUUCAGGGUUUUGACAGUUGCCAAUAACCUGAAUUAAUCUUGAGACACUGAUUUUUGUGACUGUAAUUUGCUUUGUUCCUCUCACAUAAAUUGCAUCCAACCCACUCUUACUUUUCCAUCCUCAAAAACUACAAAAAAACCCUUAAAAAUCUGUUUCUCUCUCCUUUGUUGGAGUAUGCAGAGGCACAGAGGUCAAGCCUGGAGAAUAAAAGGAAAGACAAUGCCUGUCCUAAGGAUAUUAGAAAACAAGGAGCAGGUUUUGUCCUCCCCACCUUAUACUCAGUUGUACUAAAACAAAAAGACAUGGAAACAGGAGCGAGGGUAGGGAAUUCCAUCCCUAGGCAAGGACAUGUUCUACAUCAAGAGUCUGAGUUUAUAUAAGUAUCAAACUAAAACAUCACUAUUUCAUAAAAGGUUUAAAAAUAUAACUUACAGAUUUUCUAAUGUGCUUUCACAACAAGUUUAUUCUAACAAAUCGGUAUUUCCAGACCAAAAAAAAAAAUAAUAAAAAUCACUCCCAUUAUUUUUAUCAAUACCUGACUCUUUCUAACAUAUUUUAUUAAACGUUAAUGGGAAUUAAAUGUGCACAGGCCUGAAAUCCUGGUUUGCAUGUUUGCAAUGCUCAGGCCAAAUACACUGAAGAAUUAUGACUCACACAAAACCAACAAAACAAGGGAAGAAUUAUUUAUUCUCUGCUGCUUGAAUUAAAUCAGAGCAUGGACAAGGAGGGGGGGUGGUUAAGGGAAAGUUUCCUUUUCUUUGCACAUCCUCUGUUUGAACUUCCCGAAGUUCCUCCGUGUCCACCUCUCCAGCUCUGGAAUCACAAUGACCUGGAUUAUCAGCCAGUACUCUCCCUGUAUGAUCCCUUUCCAUGUUGGAGUUGUGUCAGGAUUUCCUUGUUCACCCAAACAGCCAUUCCUCUUCCAACUGACACCCAGGUAUGUUGACUCCCAGGAAAAUGCAAGAGUUCUCCCAUAAAACUUCCUUCUUGGCACUUACAGACACGGGAGGUGGGUCCCUGCAGCCCCAGUUUGCAGUUUUUGAGGUUUCUCUCACCCUUCUUGCCAUCCAGGGUCCCCGAUAUGUGUCCAAGCAGCAGGAAGGAGCAUUCUGUGCUCUCAGGAAGCAAAGGCAGAGUGGAAGGUGGUGGUGGCACCCCACGGUUUGUCACAGCUGCAGCAGAGCCAUCAACAGAGUCCUCACAUACUGUUUUGAAGGGAUUUCUCCAUAAAAGCAGCUUCUACCCCAAAAUGCAGUGGGAGCACAAGCAGAACUUUGCAGAUUUAAGAUUUUAAAAGCAUUCUUGUUUUGAUUUUGAAAAGCCACAUAUCUGAACUGACGGAGAAAUGGAGUUACAGAUGACAUCCCUGCACCUUCCUGAGCAGUCCAGUCCAGCACCAGCUGCCUAAAGACUUUAAAUCCUUCAUAUUUUAUUUUCCCCUCAGGAAUCUGAUAGCUGUGGAUACAGAUGAAAUGAGAUACAGGCUCAGGCAAGUAUGACAAGAUCUGAUUUCUCUUAGCACUGAGACAUUCCACCCUCCUGCACUUCCAUGUGGGUGGUGGACACUUGGUUGCUCCAUAAAUCAGAGGGGGCAUUUCUCAGUUUCUCAAGUUCUUUUAUUGCAGUUUCUUUCUUUAGGUUACUUGAGAAAGAUGUUGAAUAUGUAGCCCAGGAACACUAAAAUAUUCUGCUGUCACCCCCUCCUGAUCUAUGACUUGCCAGCAGUGCAAUAUGUAGACAUUCAUCAAAGAUGUGCCACGUUGCACUUGGUCCCUUAUGUGAAAUGAACUUUCUAUCAGCUUCACAAACAUCUCAAUUUACAGUAAAUGUGAUUUUCAACUUUCUGUAAAAUCCACAAUUAUUUCUGUCUCUGGGAACAUAUUGUUCCAAACUGGCAAGAACUGCUAUUUACAUCCUUUAACAUCAACAGAGUGCUAAUCUACAUAAACAGUCAUUAUUGCUAACAAGAAUGGGCUGUUAAUUAGUAAGAGGGACCCUCAGUUCUCUGCUAGCCUAAGUAGGAUGAAACUCACAUUUCUAUAAAGAGGGGGAAUUACAACUGCACCCCAUCAAACAGAGUAUCACUGAACAAACAUUUCCACUCCCAAGAUAUCUGAAACCUAAUUUUGGCCUCCAAGCAUUUGGGAGGAGGGUAGAGGGGGUUCAGAGCAAACUGUUAUUUGAAAUAAAUAGGCCUGAGCGUGCUUAGAGCUCCUCAAAGUAAAAUAUCCUGGGGCCAAAGACUGAGUGGAAGCAAGAAUGAAGAGCAGCCCAGCCUUGUUCCUCCUCAGAUUUAAGUCUGAAACGGGAUUUGGAUGUGGGGAGGGAAGGGGGAGGGCAGAGCAGCCCUUGAGAACUGCUCAGAUGAGGAAAUAUUUUGGAUUUGUCACACACAGCAUGUAUCAAAGCCAAAUGACUUAAAUGCGUUUGAAAUUCCAGAAGAAUUAGGAAAGAGGAGGGGUUUUAAAUUCUAAAUUAAAGCUCAGUGCCUGUAGGGGAGCUCUUCAAUAAUCCUGUGUAAUUUUUCACCCAGGGCCUUUUUCCAGGCUCCAGAUUUGCAGUGAGGGGACCUCCCCAAGUCCAGGAUAACGAGGACAAAAACCCCCAAUCCAAUCCCUUUCCAGACAAUCCCUGUCUGAGAGCUGAUAUCAGAGAGGAGGGGAAAUAAAACCUCUUCGUGAGAGCUCCUGUUUGCGGCUGAUUUUGUUCACGUAUGGGGUGUGAGCAAACACAAGUCACAAAACCUGUCUUUGAUUUCACCCUCUUUUGGGAAUAUCUGGGAGAAGAAAAGAAACACCUCUCAGUGCAACAAUUCCUAAGAUAUAAAGUCCACUUGUUGCAGUGACUUAAGCCCAAGGAUAAGCUCUGCCACCACAAUGUUACUGGAAUAUUGAUUUGAUUUUCUCCAGUUCUCUCCUCUAGAACACAAAGAAUCCCAAACUGGCACUAGGCUGAGCUUUCUUCUGACUCUCGGUGAAGAAGACAACACAUUCCUGACCUCCUGACUUGGGAUAUAGAGGAGCUGUGCUAUAAACUUUGUGCCACAGGCUGUUACUCCUGCCAUCCCUGCCUUCCAAAACAAAGAACACUUUUGAUCUCACCUAUGCCUGGAGAACCUGAGGAGAAAACCAUCGCCUGGAUGACACAGGUGCCAAGGGAAUCAUAGUUCUUGCUUCACUGGGAAUUUUGAGAACACCUCCUGAAUCCAAAUGAGGCCCAAGUUCACAGAGGUCCCUGGACCUGCACUUUCAGCCUCACCAGACUAUGAAAACUUUGCUAAAUUAAAUACAACAAGGGACACUGAAAGUGAGCAGCUGGACGGGUCCCUGUCGUCCACCAUCGCGCUGAUCGUCGUGCUGACCAUCAUCUUCUCCUUGGUAAUGACAUCCCUAAUAACCUACUGCUUCCACAAGUGGAAACUUAGAGGGAAAAGACUGCAGAAAGCACAAGAGGAGUAUCAGAAAGACCAUGAAAAGAGCAUUUGCCAAAGCACACCUGGACUUGUUUCAUAAAAAAAAAAAUGGAAAAAAAGGA